rnacentral:tRNA from 1 species
GGGGUUGUGGCUCAGCGGUGGAGUGCUUGCUUAGCAUGCGGGAGGCACUGGGUUCGAUUCUCAGCACCA